UGGGGAAUAUUGCACAAUGGGCGAAAGCCUGAUGCAGCAACGCCGCGUGAGUGAUGAAGGCCUUCGGGUUGUAAAGCUCUGUCUUUUGGGACGAUAAUGACGGUACCAAAGGAGGAAGCCACGGCUAACUACGUGCCAGCAGCCGCGGUAAUACGUAGGUGGCAAGCGUUGUCCGGAUUUACUGGGCGUAAAGGAUGCGUAGGCGGAUUUUUAAGUGAGAUGUGAAAUACCCGGGCUUAACUUGGGUGCUGCAUUUCAAACUGGGAAUCUAGAGUGCGGGAGAGGAAAUGGAAUUCCUAGUGUAGCGGUGAAAUGCGUAGAGAUUAGGAAGAACACCAGUGGCGAAGGCGAUUCUCUGGACCGUAACUGACGCUGAGGCAUGAAAGCGUGGGUAGCAAACAGGAUUAGAUACCCUGGUAGUCCACGCCGUAAACGAUGAGUACUAGGUGUAGGAGGUAUCGACCCCUCUGUGCCGCAGUUAACACAAUCAAGUACUCCGCCUGGGAAGUA
rnacentral:rRNA from 1 species